rnacentral:rRNA from 1 species
UACGUAGGGCGCAAGCGUUAUCCGGAAUUAUUGGGCGUAAAGAGCUCGUAGGCGGUUUGUCGCGUCUGCCGUGAAAGUCCGGGGCUCAACUCCGGAUCUGCGGUGGGUACGGGCAGACUAGAGUGAUGUAGGGGAGACUGGAAUUCCUGGUGUAGCGGUGAAAUGCGCAGAUAUCGGGAGGAACACCGGUGGCGAAGGCGGGUCUCUGGGCCGAUACUGACGCUGAGGAGCGAAAGCGUGGGGAGCGAACAGG